rnacentral:rRNA from 1 species
UACGUAGGGUGCAAGCGUUAAUCGGAAUUACUGGGCGUAAAGCGUGCGCAGGCGGUGAUGUAAGACAGGUGUGAAAUCCCCGGGCUUAACCUGGGAACUGCAUUUGUGACUGCAUCGCUGGAGUGCGGCAGAGGAGGAUGGAAUUCCGCGUGUAGCAGUGAAAUGCGUAGAUAUGCGGAGGAACACCGAUGGCGAAGGCAAUCCCCUGGGCCUGCACUGACGCUCAUGCACGAAAGCGUGGGGAGCAAACAGG